rnacentral:rRNA from 1 species
GACGUAGGCUGCAAGCGUUAUCCGGAAUUAUUGGGCGUAAAGAGUUCGUAGGUGGUUUGUUAAGUUGGAUGUCAAAUCUUUGAGCCUAACUCAAAGCAGGUGUCCAAAACUGGCAGACUUGAGACAGGUAGAGGUAAGUGGAAUUCUGCAUGUAGGGGUAAUAUCCGUAGAUAUGCAGAGGAACGCCAAAAACGAAGGUAGCUUACUGGACCUGUUCUGACACUCAAGAACGAAAGCGUGGGGAGCAAACGGG